CCAGACUCCUACGGGAGGCAGCAGUGGGGGAUAUUGCACAAUGGGGGAAACCCUGAUGCAGCGACGCCGCGUGUGGGAAGACGGUCCUCUGGAUUGUAAACCACUGUCCUCAGGGACGAAGAUGACGGUACCUGGGGAGGAAGCUCCGGCUAACUAUGUGCCAGCAGCCGCGGUAAUACAUAGGGAGCAAGCGUUAUCCGGAUUUAUUGGGUGUAAAGGGUGCGUAGACGGGAAAUUAAGUUAGUUGUGAAAUCCCUCGGCUUAACUGAGGAACUGCAACUAAAACUGAUUGUCUUGAGUACUGGAGAGGAAAGUGGAAUUCCUAGUGUAGCGGUGAAAUGCGUAGAUAUUAGGAGGAACACCAGUGGCGAAGGCGACUUUCUGGACAGUAACUGACGUUGAGGCACGAAAGUGUGGGGAGCAAACAGGAUUAGAUACCCUAGUAU
rnacentral:rRNA from 1 species